GGGGGUAGUUGUGCACCUGGUGGGCGCCUUGGACUUCAAAUCCAAUGAUGGGCUGACGAGGCCCAUGGUGGGUUCGAUUCCCAUCUACUCCCGCCA
rnacentral:tRNA from 1 species